rnacentral:rRNA from 1 species
CACGUAGGGCGCAAGCGUUGUCCGGAAUUAUUGGGCGUAAAGAGCUCGUAGGCGGCCUGUCACGUCUGCUGUGAAAUCCCGGGGCUUAACCCCGGGCGUGCAGUGGAUACGGGCUGGCUAGAGGCAGGCAGGGGAGAACGGAAUUCCCGGUGUAGCGGUGAAAUGCGCAGAUAUGUGGAGGAAUACCGAUGGCGAAGGCAGCCUCCUGGGCCAACACUGACGCUCAUGCACGAAAGCGUGGGGAGCAAACAGG